rnacentral:rRNA from 1 species
AUUGAACGCUAGCGGGAUGCUUUACACAUGCAAGUCGAACGGCAGCGCGGACUUCGGUCUGGCGGCGGGUGGCGAACGGGUGAGUAAUGUAUCGGAACGUGCCCAGUAGCGGGGGAUAACUACGCGAAAGCGUAGCUAAUACCGCAUACGCCCUACGGGGGAAAGCAGGGGAUCGUAAGACCUUGCACUAUUGGAGCGGCCGAUAUCGGAUUAGCUAGUUGGUGAGGUAACGGCUCACCAAGGCGACGAUCCGUAGCUGGUUUGAGAGGACGACCAGCCACACUGGGACUGAGACACGGCCCAGACUCCUACGGGAGGCAGCAGUGGGGAAUUUUGGACAAUGGGGGCAACCCUGAUCCAGCCAUCCCGCGUGUGCGAUGAAGGCCUUCGGGUUGUAAAGCACUUUUGGCAGGAAAGAAACGUCGCGGGCUAAUACCCCGUGGAACUGACGGUACCUGCAGAAUAAGCACCGGCUAACUACGUG